rnacentral:misc_RNA from 1 species
GCUUCAAGUAGUUUCUUACUUUGCACUAUUUUUAGGGGCUGGACUAAUGUCCCUUCUUGCAAUAUGGGCAUGAAUGUUAUUGCAUUUAAUAUAUGCAUGUAAUUUUUUUUGUUUUGGUAUCUUAUUAUUAUCCAUAAAAUCAGCCAAGCAAGCAAGCAAUUAUUUACAAAAAAAAAUUCUUGUCACUUUACUUCUCCUUGAAGGGUGUUUAUGUAACAAGUAUGGCAACCUUGUAGAGUAGGGUUUGAAGAUGGAGUUGCAAACAGAAAAGAGAAAAGAAGAGAAAUGUUUCAUU